rnacentral:rRNA from 1 species
GAGUUUGAUCCUGGCUCAGGAUGAACGCUGGCGGCGUGCUUAACACAUGCAAGUCGAGCGAAGCACUUAAGUUUGAUUCUUCGGAUGAAGACUUUUGUGACUGAGCGGCGGACGGGUGAGUAACGCGUGGGUAACCUGCCUCAUACAGGGGGAUAACAGUUAGAAAUGACUGCUAAUACCGCAUAAGACCGCGGUACCGCAUGGUACAGUGGUAAAAACUCCGGUGGUAUGAGAUGGACCCGCGUCUGAUUAGGUGGUUGGUGGGGUAACGGCCUACCAAGCCGACGAUCAGUAGCCGACCUGAGAGGGUGACCGGCCACAUUGGGACUGAGACACGGCCCAAACUCCUACGGGAGGCAGCAGUGGGGAAUAUUGCACAAUGGGGGAAACCCUGAUGCAGCGACGCCGCGUGAGCGAUGAAGUAUUUCGGUAUGUAAACUUCUAUCAGCAGGGAAGAAAAUGACGGUACCUGACUAAGAAGCCCCGGCUAACUACGUGCCAGCAGCCGCGGUAAUUC